rnacentral:rRNA from 1 species
UACGGAGGGUGCAAGCGUUAUCCGGAUUUACUGGGUUUAAAGGGUGCGUAGGUGGGUAGGUAAGUCAGUGGUGAAAUCUUCAAGCUUGACUUGGAAACUGCCAUUGAUACUAUUUAUCUUGAAUACUUUGGAGGUAAGCGGAAUAUGUCAUGUAGCGGUGAAAUGCUUAGAUAUGACAUAGAACACCAAUUGCGAAGGCAGCUUACUACACAGUUAUUGACACUGAGGCACGAAAGCGUGGGGAUCAAACAGG